UCCUAGCCCUGAUGGCAGUGAAACCCCUUAUGAAUUAGCGUUGUGUUUUUUCUUGGGUUAAAAGAGCGACCAAAGGAAGCUCCUUUUUAGCCUUAGAAAAAACAACGCUAAAAGUAAGGGUGGAGCGUACAGCAGGAAAUAGC
rnacentral:sRNA from 1 species